UACAGAGGGGGCAAGCGUUGUUCGGAAUCACUGGGCGUAAAGGGCGCGUAGGCGGCUUUAUAAGUCGGGGGUGAAAGCCUGUGGCUCAACCACAGAAUUGCCUUCGAUACUGUAGAGCUUGAGACCGGAAGAGGUAAGUGGAACUGCGAGUGUAGAGGUGAAAUUCGUAGAUAUUCGCAAGAACACCAGUGGCGAAGGCGGCUUACUGGUCCGGUUCUGACGCUGAGGCGCGAAAGCGUGGGGAGCAAACAGG
rnacentral:rRNA from 1 species